rnacentral:rRNA from 1 species
UACGAAGGGUGCAAGCGUUACUCGGAAUUACUGGGCGUAAAGCGUGCGUAGGUGGUUCGUUAAGUCUGUCGUGAAAGCCCCGGGCUCAACCUGGGAAUGGCGAUGGAUACUGGCGGGCUAGAGUGCGGUAGAGGAGAGUGGAAUUCCCGGUGUAGCAGUGAAAUGCGUAGAGAUCGGGAGGAACACCAGUUGCGAAGGCGGCUCUCUGGACCAGCACUGACGCUCAGGCACGAAAGCGUGGGGAGCAAACAGG